rnacentral:rRNA from 1 species
GGGGGACCUUCGGGCCUCUUGCCAUCGGAUGUGCCCAGAUGGGAUUAGCUAGUAGGUGGGGUAACGGCUCACCUAGGCGACGAUCCCUAGCUGGUCUGAGAGGAUGACCAGCCACACUGGAACUGAGACACGGUCCAGACUCCUACGGGAGGCAGCAGUGGGGAAUAUUGCACAAUGGGCGCAAGCCUGAUGCAGCCAUGCCGCGUGUAUGAAGAAGGCCUUCGGGUUGUAAAGUACUUUCAGCGGGGAGGAAGGGAGUAAAGUUAAUACCUUGGCUCAUUGACGUUACCCGCAGAAGAAGCACCGGCUAACUCCGGGCCAGCAGCCGCGGUAAUACGGAGGGUGCAAGCGUUAAUCGGAAUUACUGGGCGUAAAGCGCACGCAGCGGGUC